rnacentral:lncRNA from 1 species
CAUAUUUUCCCAUAGGAGCAAUGUUGUCAUAAAGGGCCUUGUUCUUGGCUGAGAAUUUCACAUCCAAUAAAUCAAACCGAUGACCAACAAUAUGGCGGAAAAGCAGAACCAAACAAUAAAAUUACACUUCAAAGUCCAAGGAUUUCAGAACUCAAAGGGACCUCAGAGACGAUAGAUUUGCAGAGGAUGCAGCAGGUGAGUCCUGUGUACGUCAGAGGAGCUUCUACGCUGCACAGCGGCCACUCGGGGGGACAUUACUGGCCUCGAUCACAUCAUGGAGACCACAUGGAUGCUGGGAAUGCACUUCCCAUUGGCCGAGCUGAGGACAGGAGCAGGCUGUGGUGUAAGGAAACUGAACUUCUUCUCCAAAUAAAAUCAGUAAAUCUCAAAGAGAGAAGAAUCCGGGUCUGCAGCCCAAACCCGCGUGCCUUUGGGGGACCACGCACAACAAGAAUGCUUUAUGCCUUGGCUUUUCCAGACACAGGCUCAACACGAGGAAACAGCAUGCACAGUGGAAUUAUAACAAGGUGAUCUUUAGAUUUUUUGUGUUUUUCUUUUGCCCCAACCCUGAUCUGUGGCACUUGAACAAUCCUGGUUUCCGGAGAACAGACUACUGUAAUGAUAAUCCAGGAAGUAAACUGCCCUUUGAAAAGCAAGGAAGAAACCAAUGGACUAAGUAUUUACUUCUAUUUAAUGCUCCAGG